UUUAGAUGAGAAAAGAAUUUAGAAGGAGAUUGAAAAGAAAAGAAGAGAGUCUCAUAGAAUAGGAGAAGAGCACGAGAAUAAUAUCAAUUUGAUCAAUGCCCCUCUUGCUCUUUCCAGGACAUAGUUAUAGGAUGCUCACGUGCCAUCACAGCCUUUCAGCUUCAUUAUCUCCAAAUAAAUCUCGUACGUUCAUGUGUUAUAGUUCUAUUCUUUAUUUUUCACUUAGAUCAUUUAGUCAGGUCGAGACAAAGUGGAUCUCAAGUAAAUUCUAUAUUUUAAAUAAAGUAAUGUGGCAUCACGAUCCGUGGUUCCAAACCACGAGUUGUAGCUUGGGUCGUAAUCAGGUUUGUUCCAGAUCUUAAAACUAUUUUUUGACCUAACCCGAAUCUCCAUUUUUCUUCCCUCUUUGCCCAAUAAAGCUAACAAACACACGAUACACUCCCUCCACUUUUAAAUACAAAGACCAUCAACCUUUCUCAAACUCCAUAGAAAAAAGAAAUGAAACUUCAUCAAUUCAAUUACUUCAAUACAAUUCUAUCACGUCACCUGAUUUCCUUUCUCCAAGUUGCGUCAGUUAUUUCCCCAAAAGUUCAUCGAUUAUUUUUGUCAUGUCAAGCACUCGCGUCUUUCCAACGGUUGUUCACUUCACACUUGAACAUAUAUUAGUUAAGGUAUGAAUUUAUUUUUAUCAUCAGUUAGAGAUUUAGUCAGUGCUACAUAGUGCAAAUAGAUCAACAAAAAUUAUAUUCUUCUCUCCAAAUUCUUCAAGAAAAUAUUUGCCCAUAAAUAUUUGACCCUUCGAUAUAUGAAGUUCAAAAUAAAUGAAUAUGCUUCUUGGAAUCUUUUGCAAGUGGCAGGGAAAACACACCUUUUGUAAGAUUUGAUAGACAUAAAUGUUCUUUAAGUGUCUCAAAAGCGUUCCACUGGCUUAAAGAAAAAGCAUUAUAAGUUGAUCGUAAAAUUCAUGUUGUAUACUUGGGGCUACCAGAUGAAAAAAUGACGAGUUAUGCUCAGAGUCACUCAAGUAACAACACUUCUUUAAAAAGGAUACGUACGGAUCAAAUUGAAAUAGAUGUGAAAGACCUCGAGUUUGAGGUGCUAUAGCAAUCAAGAAAUAGAAUUCCUUACCAUGAAUACAACACUCCACUUCCUUAGUGAUAAGAAUAAACUAACAAAAGUUGCCUAGUUGAUAAUAUAAAAGGUGUAGUGCAAGUUUCUCCAUCAACUAGAAAAACUAUAUAAGUAACAUUUGAGGUGACUUGGAUUUCAUAUACUCGACUCCAAGAGAGAAUAGGGAAGAAUGAUGUCACAUAUUCCGUGAAGAUGCAUGGUUGAUGAUACAAAUAUUGAAAUGUUUUAUUUUUAUAAAAUGCAACCCAACAACUUCUUUCUCCAGGCCAAUCAGCAUACCUCAUGGGUCAAAAGUGAAAUGCAAACCAUACACCUUUAUUCUUACUAUUGCAACUCCAUCUCUAGUUUAGCAAAGUCAUUAGUAUUUAAAAAAGGAUAUGUAGGCCAACCACAUCAACUAUAGAUGUACCCCUCGAAUAUCCAGACAUCCAAAUUGUACCCACGCUGAAAGUCUCUAAUUUAAAACUUGAGUUUUGAUUGAUCAAUUCACUAGUAGCCCCGUUCAAGUAAUUUAUAACCAUGUAGCUUUCCCAUGUUUAAGUCUAUUACCGAAGUUAAGAUCCCCAUAGUAUAUUUCAACAAGGAGGAUAAAAUCAAAUGAUCAAGGUUGACAUUGUUUAAAAACAUGUUGUUCUGCGAGGUGCAACACCUCAAAUGUGAAUUAGGUGUAGCUAAAGCCUAAUAUGAGCGUCAUGAGCUUAUAAGGUCCUAAAAUGACUAAAAAUAGUGUUAAGAGUCACUAUAUAAAGUUUGGAAGUGAUUGUAGGUCAAACGCCCAAGAACGUCCAAGACGUCCGAAAACUAGUUGAAGUUGAACUAGUGUGUUGUAGUGUUUCGUAGUGGAGUUAUCGAGGAUGGUUUGACGGUAAAAAUUGAGUAUAGAUGGUUCAUAUGCGUAGAAUGACAUGUAAAGGAUUGAAACAUCCAAGACAACGCCCCAGGGACCAGCCUAAGGGUCCCCGAGGAGGACCCAAUAUAGGGCAGUGAAGUUGCCGGGCAACCUAGAUAUGAAACAUCCAAGAACAAUGCCUCCACGACGCGCAGUAAGUGCCCAGAUUUGAUCGCGUCGUUUUUAAGUCAAAUUAGAAUUGGUUAAACGGUCCAAUAGUUGCAGGGGUAUUUUGGGUGCUUUAGGGAUUAAUUAUUGGAGGUUAUUUUAGGUAUUUUGAAGAGUAGUACAAUAGCCAAUAAGACCCUAGACUCCAAAUCAUAACUUUUCUCUCCCAAAAUAUUCCGAAAACCAUCAUUGAAGAAGAAGAGAAAUUGAAGGCUGCUUUAGGACGAAUUCACCAAGGUUUCAAGAUGGAUUUAAGGCUCUAAUCUAAGGGUCUUGAGAAGAUUGAGGUUGCUUGAAAGGUAGAGUUUCCAAGAAGAGAAGAUUGGUGAGUCCUCAUAUCAUCCGAGGACACCACCACUAUGAUGCCUUUUAUAUUCUUUCAUGUUUAGACUUUUUAUGGGUUGUGACCCAAGACUAUUGUACUCAUGAUGUCAUAGAUGGUUUUUGAGAUAUAUGUUAGAAGUUUCAUGAAAUGAUUCCGCAUUAUGUUUUUGAAAGAAAAGUUUUAAUUC